rnacentral:antisense_RNA from 1 species
UGUGGGAGCUGGCUUGCCUGCGAUGCAGGCGCCUCGGUCUCUCAGUUAAACCCGGUUAAUGCCAUCGCAGGCAGGCCAGCUCCCACA